rnacentral:lncRNA from 1 species
CGUCUGCUCGCCCGCUGCGCACGCCCACUUGGCCACUUGCUCCGGUUCUUGUCCUGGACAUCUUCCCGCAAUUCUCCCUGAUGGACAGUUGGUGCUCGUGGGAGGGGAGGGUAACAGAAUUCAAUUACAAUGGGGAACGUUUUUGAAAAACUCUUUAAAAGUCUCUUUGGGAAAAAAGAGAUGCGGAUUCUGAUGGUGGGUUUGGAUGCCGCUGGGAAAACCACCAUCUUAUAUAAGUUGAAGCUGGGAGAGAUUGUGACGACCAUCCCUACAAUCGGUUUCAAUGUGGAGACGGUGGAAUAUAAAAACAUCAGCUUCACAGUCUGGGAUGUCGGUGGCCAAGACAAAAUCAGACCUUUAUGGCGACAUUAUUUCCAGAACACACAAGGUCUGAUUUUUGUGGUCGACAGUAACGAUAGAGAGCGGGUCAAUGAAGCCCGAGAAGAACUAACCAGAAUGUUAGCUGAAGAUGAGCUCAGAGAUGCAGUUUUAUUGGUGUUUGUAAAUAAACAGGAUCUUCCCAAUGCUAUGAAUGCAGCAGAGAUAACAGACAAGCUCGGCUUACACUCCCUCCGCCAGAGGAACUGGUACAUUCAGGCUACUUGUGCCACCAGUGGAGAUGGGCUUUACGAAGGCCUGGACUGGCUCUCCAACCAGCUCAAAAACCAGAAGUGACGGGAAGCGCUCCGUUCCCUGUGCAUCAUGGCCAAAGCAGCUGGCCUCUCUGUGUGCGUGUGUGCGUGUGAGGAGCCGAGUGUGGGCGUGUGGCCGGGCGUGGGAGCAGCUUUCUCACAUGGUGCCUUAUACAUGUGCUAGGGAAACCAGUCUUACAUGUUAUGAACAACGAGUGUUACAUUUUAAAUGCUACCUUCCAUUUUAAUGGCUGUGAUGGCCAGUUUGGCAGUGGAUGCAGGGGUCCAGGGGGCUCCGUGCACAACAACCAGAGUGGCCUCGAGAUGGGAAGAAGGCGGAGGGUGGGCGGGGGACCGAGUUCGUUUGUGCCGUCCUGGGUCUGGCGUCUCUGCCCACCUGGGGUCCGCUCAGACUUUGGCAUCCUUUUCCCAUCACUGCCAGAGCUAGCAGCUCGCCUUUCAGUGCUUUGAAGCAAAUGGUCCUCAAGAGAAAAAGGCUCUUGCUUCCUGCAGGUAAGAAGUUCAGAUUUGAACUUUUCCCUGAAGCGAUAUUCUAACCUGGAUUUCCUGGUUUAAUUGAAAGGAAUCGGUGGUCUUUUUCCAUGAGGGUAUCAGGACCUAGAAACUCUAGAAAAGCAUCCAGUCCUUUCCUUCUUUGCCUCUUAGUUGCCAAAUGGAGACCCUGGGGUCGUGACCCCAGCACGCAGCAAAGGCUCUUCCCCGGGCUCCACAGCCGCACGUGCAGGGUCCAGUUAAGGCAGGAGGUGCCGGUGGAGCCUGUGUUCCUGCAUCACCGCCCCGGGCUUCAGGCUCCUGAGACCGCUGCUCCCACGUGUCUGCUUUGUGCUGAAUGUUCUCCGCUCACAGCUGGACGUUCCCUCCUGGGGUGGAACUGUCACUGUGUACAGUGUCUCAGUCCAGCCUUCGGUUUGGAUGAGCUGCUGUUCCCAGAACCACACGCCUGUGAGUUCUGUGCGUCUGUCAGAGAAUCAGGUGGUCAACACCGGGGGGUGAAGCUCCCGGCAGCCCCUGGUGUGGUCCCCGAGGUGGUUGGUGCUAAAGUUCGCUAUGAAGAAUGUCUCGUCCAGACCACUCUCCGUAGCCCUGACUCCCUCGUCUGGCUGGGAGUAAUGUCUUCGGUGGAAAGAUGUCUUAGGUUGUCCUCAGAACAGUCGGAGAAAUGGCCCGGAAAUGAGCUCAGUCACUCGGUAUCUAGAGCACUUUUGCCCAGACAGCUGUUGGCCAAAUUUGCACCGAAGCUCUUCCACUACUACCUUUUAAAAUUCCUUAGCCAAGGAGGAAAAUGUUAGGUGAA